ensembl:lncRNA
UGAGUCAUCAGAGAAUGUACAGGGAGACUCUAGUCCAGUGUAUGAAAACGUCUCAAGCAUGUCCACAGCCCCUACUGCAGCACAGACAGCAGCCACCGUCCACCAGGACGAUGUUCACUACUCCAGUGUCCACUUCUCUCGCUCCAAAAACCAGGAAGUGCCUCUGUACUCUACCGUCCAGAUGCCUCAGCCCCAGAAAGAGGAAGAGGAUGUCCAGUACGAUGCUGUGAAAUUCAACCUCCCCAGUGCUGCCAACCAACCCACGGCAGCACAAGCAGCUGAGGAGGACUCUUCUGAGAUCUAUAGUAGAGUCAACAAACCCAGAAGACCUGAACACAACAAACCCAGAACCAAAAAGACCUGAAUGCAACAAACCCAGAACCAAGAAGACCUGAACGCAACAAACCCAGAAACAAGAAGACCUGAACGCAACAAACCCAGAACCAAGAAGACCUGAACGCAACAAACCCAGAACCAAGAAGACCUGAACACAACAAACCCAGAACCAAGAGGACCUGAACACAACAAACCCAGAACCAAGAGGACCUGAACACAACAAACCCAGAACCAAGAAGACCUGAACGCAACAAACCCAGAACCAAGAAGACCUGAACGCAACAAACCCAGAACCAAAAAGACCUGAACGCAACAAACCCAGAACCAAAAAGA